rnacentral:rRNA from 1 species
UACAGAGGGGGCAAGCGUUAUUCGGAAUUAUUGGGCGUAAAGGGCGCGUAGGCGGCUUGGCAAGUGGAAGGUGAAAUCCCUCGGCUCAACUGAGGAACUGCCUUCCAGACUGCUUUGCUUGAGUCCGGGAGAGGUGAGUGGAAUUCCCAGUGUAGCGGUGAAAUGCGUAGAUAUUGGGAGGAACACCAGUGGCGAAGGCAGCUCGCUGGGACGUGACUGACGCUGAGACGCGAAAGCGUGGGGAGCAAACAGG